GUGGGGAAUAUUGGUCAAUGGCCGAGAGGCUGAACCAGCCAUGCCGCGUGCGGGAUGACGGCCCUAUGGGUUGUAAACCGCUUUUGUUGGGGAGCAAUAAGGUUCACGUGUGGACUGAUGAGAGUACCCAGCGAAUAAGCAUCGGCUAACUCCGUGCCAGCAGCCGCGGUAAUACGGAGGAUGCAAGCGUUAUCCGGAUUUAUUGGGUUUAAAGGGUGCGUAGGCGGAUGAUUAAGCGUGAGGUGAAAGCUCGGGGCUCAACCCCGGAACUGCCUCGCGAACUGGUUGUCUUGAAUGUCCGUGCCGUGGGAGGAAUGUGUGGUGUAGCGGUGAAAUGCAUAGAGAUCACACAGAACACCGAUUGCGAAGGCAUCUCACGAACGGAUGAUUGACGCUGAGGCACGAAAGCGUGGGGAUCAAACAGG
rnacentral:rRNA from 1 species